AAGUCGUAACAAGGUUUCUGUAGGUGAACCUGCAGAAGGAUCAUUAGUGAAGAUUCAAGGGCCAGCCAUACAGACGUACAAUAAGUGUGUCUCUGGCGGCUCGCAUCCACUAUACAUCCAUAAACCCGUGUGCACUGUUCUAAGGAGUAAGAAAGAAGGGAGGGAGAGUAGCAUGUGCUUUGCAUAUAACUCUCUCUCGCUCUCUUUCUCUCUCCGGUUAAUUACAAACUCGUAUGGAUUUGUAUGAACGUGAGACAUAUCGUUGGACCGUCACUGGCCAACAAAUAUAACACAACUUUCGACAACGGAUCUCUUGGUUCUC
rnacentral:misc_RNA from 1 species